rnacentral:rRNA from 1 species
UUCGAGUGGCGGACGGGUGAGUAACGCAUGGGUAACCUGCCUUACACAGGGGGAUAACACCUGGAAACAGGUGCUAAUACCGCAUAAGCGCACAGGGCCGCAUGGCCCGGUGUGAAAAACUCCGGUGGUGUAAGAUGGACCCGCGUCUGAUUAGCUUGUUGGCGGGGUAGGGGCCCACCAAGGCGACGAUCAGUAGCCGGCCUGAGAGGGUGGACGGCCACAUUGGGACUGAGACACGGCCCAAACUCCUACGGGAGGCAGCAG